rnacentral:rRNA from 1 species
UGCAGUCGAACGAUGAUGCCCAGCUUGCUGGGUGGAUUAGUGGCGAACGGGUGAGUAACACGUGAGUAACCUGCCCCUGACUCUGGGAUAAGCGUUGGAAACGACGUCUAAUACUGGAUAUGAUCACUGGCCGCAUGGUCUGGUGGUGGAAAGAUUUUUUGGUUGGGGAUGGACUCGCGGCCUAUCAGCUUGUUGGUGAGGUAAUGGCUCACCAAGGCGACGACGGGUAGCCGGCCUGAGAGGGUGACCGGCCACACUGGGACUGAGACACGGCCCAGACUCCUACGGGAGGCAGCAGUGGGGAAUAUUGCACAAUGGGCGAAAGCCUGAUGCAGCAACGCCGCGUGAGGGAUGACGGCCUUCGGGUUGUAAACCUCUUUUAGUAGGGAAGAAGCGAAAGUGACGGUACCUGCAGAAAAAGCACCGGCUAACUACGUGCCAGCAGCCGCGGUAAUACGUAGGGUGCAAGCGUUGUCCGGAAUUAUUGGGCGUAAAGAGCUCGUAGGCGGUUUGUCGCGUCUGCUGUGAAAUCCCGAGGCUCAACCUCGGGCUUGCAGUGGGUACGGGCAGACUAGAGUGCGGUAGGGGAGAUUGGAAUUCCUGGUGUAGCGGUGGAAUGCGCAGAUAUCAGGAGGAACACCGAUGGCGAAGGCAGAUCUCUGGGCCGUAACUGACGCUGAGGAGCGAAAGCAUGGGGAGCGAACAGGAUUAGAUACCCUGGUAGUCCAUGCCGUAAACGUUGGGCGCUAGAUGUAGGGACCUUUCCACGGUUUCUGUGUCGUAGCUAACGCAUUAAGCGCCCCGCCUGGGGAGUACGGCCGCAAGGCUAAAACUCAAAGGAAUUGACGGGGGCCCGCACAAGCGGCGGAGCAUGCGGAUUAAUUCGAUGCAACGCGAAGAACCUUACCAAGGCUUGACAUACACCGGAAACGGCCAGAGAUGGUCGCCCCCUUGUGGUCGGUGUACAGGUGGUGCAUGGUUGUCGUCAGCUCGUGUCGUGAGAUGUUGGGUUAAGUCCCGCAACGAGCGC